rnacentral:lncRNA from 1 species
AUAAAGCUCAAAUAUCUUAAUAAAUCCGUAGCUUGCAUGGGUUAUUUCGUGAAUAUCCGUUAGAAAAAAAAACUGUUUAAUUUUUCUAAUUCUCAAACCCAACAUUUGCCAUUUUAAUAUUACAUUAUUUUCUCGUAAGCUUCCGUCAAAUCCAAAGUUGACAUUUCGUAACUAAGGAGCCGCCAUGUUGACUUGUUCAAAUUAGUAAAUAUGCAAAUAAUGCAAUAGAAUAGAAAACAAAACAAAACCUACCUCAAAAAUCAGUUUUAAUACAAUAUCAUACGAAUUUCGAUUGUUCA